rnacentral:rRNA from 1 species
UACGGAGGGUGCAAGCGUUAUCCGGAUUCACUGGGUUUAAAGGGUGCGUAGGUGGGUCUGUAAGUCCGUGGUGAAAUCUCCGAGCUUAACUUGGAAACUGCCAUGGAUACUAUAGGUCUUGAAUACUGUGGAGGUCAGCGGAAUAUGUCAUGUAGCGGUGAAAUGCUUAGAUAUGACAUAGAACACCAAUUGCGAAGGCAGCUGGCUACACAAAUAUUGACACUGAUGCACGAAAGCGUGGGGAUCAAACGGG